AAGAAGUUAUGCGGCUCGACGGAGAGCACCAGAUGCUCUUGUGCUUCACAGAAGAGGACAGAUUUCCUCUGGCUCUUUCCCUCCCUCCAGAAGAAUGCCGUAAACAGACAGGGAUUCCCCUCGCUGUCCGGUAAACUCAGACGGCAUGCGUUUGAAGGGAUACGGGACCGGACGAGCCGAUGGCAUUACUUACAUCCGCCGCAACUGUCCUGGUAAACAUGGGAGACCAGAAACGCUCAUGCGAAGAAGUCUUCUCUUCACGACCGGCUCAUUCUGAAAACGUAGCCCUACAGAUGUUUCUGGAGACCGUGGAUUACGUAGCCAGAGGUACGUAAUGCUGCAUUUCUUUUUUUAAAGGAACGCUACGGGUUGGUGUGAUGCCGUUCCGUUGCGCGCUUACCAGCUGACCGUUUACCUCCGUAUGGAUGGUAUUCCGGCUGCAACCAUUUUGUCCCCUUAACUCGCCGGCGGACCAUGACAACGGGGUUCAAGUCCGGUGAAGAGCAGUUCCAGA